UACGAAGGGGGCUAGCGUUGUUCGGAAUUACUGGGCGUAAAGCGCACGUAGGCGGAUAUUUAAGUCAGGGGUGAAAUCCCAGAGCUCAACUCUGGAACUGCCUUUGAUACUGGGUAUCUUGAGUAUGGAAGAGGUAAGUGGAAUUGCGAGUGUAGAGGUGAAAUUCGUAGAUAUUCGCAGGAACACCAGUGGCGAAGGCGGCUUACUGGUCCAUAACUGACGCUGAGGUGCGAAAAGCGUGGGGAGCCAAACAGG
rnacentral:rRNA from 1 species